AAAAAAAAGGCUCUAAUAACACAUUUGGAAGUAAAUAGCAGGGAUUGUAAGCAAACUUUGUCAUUUUAGAUGGGAUACUUGACAUAACCCAUCAAGCAUCUUUCUAUGACAUACCUAAAGACUUUUACUUUGAAAAUUGAAUGAGUAAAAUCAAAAAAGAAAUAUGUGCAGUGCACUCUGUGAUCACAAAUAUUUGCAUUCUAGGGUAGCCAUGCGGUGCAGUACACUCUCCACUUGAGACGCCCACAUCCUGUAUCAGAGUGCCCAGUUAGACUCCCAGCUGCUCCGCUUCCAAUCCAGCUCCCUGCUAAUAGCUAGGAAAAGCAGCAGAAGAUGACCCAAGUGUUUGGGCCCCUGUCAUCACCUGGGAGACCUAGAUGAAGCUCCUGGCUCCUGGCUUCCGCCUGGCCCAGCACUGGCUGUUGCAGCCAUCUGGGGAAUGAACCAACGGAUGGAAGAUUCUCUCUUUCCCUCUCUCUCUCUAUCUCUCUCUCUGUCUCUCCCUUCCUCUCUCUCUUUCCCUCUGUAACUCUUACUUUCAAAAUAAAUAAAUAAAUCUUUUUAAAAAAUACUGUGCAAAGGUAAGGAUAAUCUACAUUGUCUCACAAGAAAUUUUAUCCCUGAGGUAUGGCAAUUUUCCACCUGAUAUUCUGUAACUGAAAAAUAUAUACAUAUAAAUGUUAAUUAUAUUGGGUUUUCCUUCUUUCCUCUGUAGUUUUUGACCUAUUCAGCACACAAAAAGAAUGAUGAAAAUUAUAUUUCUUCUCUCAGAGAAAAUGAGAAGUACUUGAACUUUGAACUAGAAGAAUCUUAGUUCAACUUUCUGAAUUUAAUAGAUGAACUCGAGAUCCACGUCACACGACUAGCUACAGGCCAAAAACUGAUCUACAGCUCGGAUCUGACGCUAGUCCCAGUUUCUUUUUGCUCCAAGAGGAUGCGUUCAUUUAUCUUUGCCUGUUGCAUAGGCCAGCAGCUAAGUUACAGGUGCAGAAACAUUAAGAGGGAGCCGUGUUGCGUCCACUUCCUGUGCGGUAAGGUAAGUGAAAUUCUGAGGCCCCUAUCCCUUCUGAUGAACAGCUGAAAGCCGGGAGAUAAACAGCUGCAGUCCCUCCCGACGCGGGCUGCCCACCCUGAGAUGCAGGCAGUGCUGGGCUCCAACCGUAGCUCCCCCCACCUCCGCCCCCCUCUGCCUUUGCAAAGACUUCCAGUUCUGUUUUUGGUGACUGCCACCGCCCCUCCUGUUCCCUGGAGUGCACAGUAACGACUAGCUGCCUUCUGUAUAAUGACUGUGGUCAGCUAUAAAUAUACGGAAAAUGAACACGCACCAUCUUGAUGUCGGGCUAAUUUUAGCUUAACAGUUUCAUUUUCAGUGUGCCCAGCCUAGGCCGGGCACAUCAUGGUUUCCAUCUAAGAAGUUUGAAAAAUGGAAAUUAUAAAAACCACAGCGUGGAACCAAAAUUGUUCAGACUGUAGUAACAGUGAUUGAGACGCUUUGGGCGACACUGCCAAGAAGAGGCCCGUCAGUGUGCAGCGUGCCUCAGGGAAACUCACUGUCCAGGAGACAAUGUGAUCAGACCUCUAGGGGAAGCGAAUCAAGGCAACUAAAUGCCCUUCACCAAAUCCCUCCGGGCUGGAGGCUGCCGGGGAGCGGCCAGAGCUCUGUCCUCACAGCUGCACACACCUGGAUGGAAAUCCCUCGACCUGCCUGCUGUGGGACUGGGAGCAGUUACUGCAGAUUUCUGAGCUGCAGCUGCACAACUCAGCGCCUCCCCCCAGGGUGCGUCGUGAGCAGGAAACGGGAGAAGGACUCAUUUGUCAGCUCCCACAAAUGCGCAGGUGACUUUGUUUGGAGGCCCACUUUUCACAAAGGAACCAAAUGUUGGUGACUUGCCAAGAAUUACAGGCGCAUCUCCAAGCUGCUUCCUGCUAAUCUAUCCUGGGAAGGCGACAGAUGAUGGCCUAAGUACUUGGGCUCUUGCCACCCAUGUGGGAGACCCAGAUGGAAUUCUUGGUUCCCAGCUUCAGCCUGGACCAUUGUGGUCGUUUGGGGAAUCUUGGUGAGUUUGCCUGUGGCUCCUAUCUUCUCCCCACUUUCCAGACGCCUCAAGACUCAGCCGGGUGCUCCCCGUGUGAAAAGUGACCCACCCCGGGAGCGAAGCAAACGUGUUUUAGGACACAACUGCUUGUGGUAGGCAGUGAGAGGAAUCGCAUCAAGACGGCAGCUUUCCGACCCGACACGGAGACAACACCGCUGCGUCCCACAUCCGCGUGAUCGGGAAUCCCACCUCCAGUCAACAUGCGGUCUGAAACAUUGCGUGCGGAGUCUAACGCGCCACACAGGACGGGGCGGGGGAGGACGGCCCGUGUCAGUGUCCUGCGCAGGGCAUGCGGACGAGUGAGAGGAAUGUCCAAUCUAACUUCUUCCUGUAGCUCUUGCUCCUAUUUAAUCAAGCCCACAUGUGGGACACCGGGAAACUAAAUGUGGUGAGGAGCGAAGGAUUAUAAAAAUGUUCACUUUCAUCCUACAGAUAUGAGAAAACAAGAACAUAUUGCCAUUACUCGACAACUUUAUUGCUCCAAAUAAUGCUUAACACGCAGUAAAUCAGUGGAGACUUUCGCGGGCUGUGUCAUAGGGGUGCCUCCCGCUCGCUCUGGGAGGCAGCCCCUGUGAGUCCAUCCCCGUGCCGGGCGGCCGAUGGCCCUGGGUGGGAUGGAGGAGAAAGGGCUGCACACCACGGGAGGCACAAAAGCCCAAUCUGCUCCCUGGGGCCAGCCGAAGUUCUCCCACCCCCCAGGCCCUGAGCAAUCUUUCUUCCCUUCUUAAGAAAUGACAAAAAUCAGGAAAUAUUACUUUGGCUUGCAGGCUUCUGUCCUGGCCUAUCAAACCCACAGAGAAGCCCCAGCAAAUUACUGGAAACUGCACUUUGAACUUGGCCCUUGGCAAGGAGCCCAGUCAAACAGAAAUGUAAAAGUUCCUUUCCUCCGCAGGGCCCCUGCACCAGGGUGUCCCUAUAGACGCUCCAAAGCUGAUUGCAACAGGUUGGAAUGAGGCGUCGAGCCAGGAAAACAAGCCCUGACCAGUAUGAUUUCCUACUGCCUGUGUUGUUUCUUAAAAAGGUUUUCUUUGGCUUGUUCUCCCUCGUUCUGUUGGCCUGCAUUGCAGGCUCAGGUCCCAUCGAGGAAAAGACUGGCACCACUUGCAGAAAAUGCUUAAUCCUUGUUUAGUUCCUAAAGGGCUCCAUCAAGCCCACCAGUAAGUGUAGUAGUGUUGGGGGCACGGUUGAGGAGGGACUGGUCAGGCCAGUUGCUAAGCAAACACUUAGAACACCCAGGAAUUGACAAGUAAUUAGCUUGUAAACCCCCGCAGAUACUUCCACCACCGACAAGGGAGAGGCUCUCUCUCUGCCCACCAGGCUGCCCUGCACAAUCUUAAAAUAAACCAACCACAGGCACAGUCACACAAUGGACAACCCCACAGUGCACGGCUCGCUAUGGGUUUCUUCCGGGGAGGAGGAAACAAUCAAAACACUGGCGUCUUUCUAGCUCUGGUCUGUGUCUCUCUAAGAAAACUCCAUUUGCACAAGCAAAUAAACAGACUCAUUAUAAAACUAGGAAGAGGUCAACGAGAGGCAGAUAAAACUAAAGGUUAGACAGCUGGAGAAACAAGUCUCUCUCGCAGCUGCAGUGGGAGCUCCUAGGAGGAAGCCACACAUCCCUCAGGGAUCUGUCAUGAACCUGUGAAGGGGAGGGGCCAGCCGGCCGGUAGGAGGAAGGGCUGGGCGCUUCGGGAGCCAGAUCUGUGGGCAGUGACCUAACUCUCUUAAUGUGCAAUUAUUUUAACUGCUUGCUCCUCACGGGUUUGUUUCCUACAAGCUUUGCAUGGUUUCAUAUGCAAAGUGUCAACACAGCAGUGAUCUCCUUACUCUUCUGAUCAUUUCAUAACAUUUCCCAAGCCUGUUUUUAAAGCCCCACAUAUUGGUGGAGCUGCUUGUUCCCUCCCUCAGCCCACAGCUUCCCCCACUGCCUGCCUCGCUGACCUCCGACUGACCCAGUUCUGCAAUUAUCAGCAGUCAAUGAACACCACUCAAUUCAAAAAAAAAGCUGCUAUCUGCUAAAGUCUCAUUUUCCAGCACUCCUGGUCAGCCCUGUCACAUUGUAACAUUGUAACAUGGUUCCCACCUGUUUUCUCCUUUUAUUGUUAAUGCAGGACUCUCAGGCAGAAUUUACCAUUUGUGUCCCCCUCUCCUACCUCCCAGUGAUUCUAGGAGAAGCAAUGGGAGAGAAAGAGCAAACCCAGGAUUCACGGGAAGUCUACAAAGAUAGCAUGUCCAAGGGAGUCAUUCUCUCACCCAUGGACAUUUAGUAUGCCUCUAUCACAAUUAUCCCAACAAAGUAAGUCCCAUCACACACAUCCACCAUAGACUCUCUCCUGGAUCACAAAAAAAAAACCUGAUAGAAAAACACCAAGGUGUCAUUCAAAUAGAAGGCAAAUGUGAGUGGUCACACCCAGCACACAGGAGAUUCACUCGAGAGACGAGAGCAGAUGCUAGAGAAGAGGGGAGAGCAGGAGGGGACUCUCCAGGUGGAAGGAGAAUGACGCCUGCCAGGCAUAAUCUCUCCAAGGAAAGGCUGAAGGAUGGUGCCAUGUGGAAACCAGAAGCGAGCCUGAUGGUCCUCUGGAAACAGAACGGUAUGUCUUAAAUGCUGGUGAGCAUGGGGUGCCCAGGAGCACCUGAACAACAGGCAGAACCUCCACUGCCCCUACUCACUCUAGAUGUUCUUUAUUUUUUUAAGAUUGACUUAUUUAUUUGAAAGGCAGAGUUACAGAGGCAGAGAGAGAGAGAGAGAGAGUCUUCCAUCCUCUGGUUCACUCUGCAGAUGGCCACAAUGGCCGAAGCUGCACCAAUCCAAAGCCAGGAGCCAGGAGCUUCUUCCGGGUCUCCCAAUGCCGGUGCAGGGGCCCAAGGACUUGGGCCAUCCUCCACUGCUUUCCCAUAGCAGAGAGCUGGAUCGAAGUGGAGCAGCCGGGACUAGAACCGGCGCCCAUUUGGGAUGCCAGUGCUGCAGACCGGGGCUUUACCUCUGCAGUCACGGCACCGGCCCAUCUAGAUGCUCUGAUGCAGUAGCCUCAUCAGGUCCCAGGUGAUUCUGAUGCUAGGUAUCCACAAAUUUUGCCGAAGGUUAGAGAGUAAGAGGGAGAACAGCAAUCAGGAAGGGUGAAGCAGAGAGGCAAGAAAGGCAGCAGGCGGUGACCUCAGACACAGAAGACCUACGAGUGCAGUAGUUGUCCCGAAUUACAGGGGGAGUUUGUUUGCUAAGGAGUUGGGAGUAGGUAGAGGCCAAAGCCAAAGCCACAGGGAGGGCAAAGCCAGGAGAACUCUGACCAGGCCUUGACUCUACAUAGCAAAGACAGGUUCAAUAGAGAGGAGGAUCACUCACAAUGAUUUGAGUUUAUACUGUUGAAUUCUCAAUUUCUAUGAAAAAUACAGUACACAAGUCAGCAUUCUUAAGUUGUUAUUUUGCUGAUUUGAUAUUCUAGCAGAAGUAUUCUAAAACUCAGCUGAAUGCACCUGUCAUUGUGCAACAUAGCUUCACUCAAGAGAUACAAGUAGUUGGCUGCCUGGAGACAGACAACUGAAAUCAUCAGGAUCUAUGCACAACUAAAAUCACCCUUUGUCCACUGGAAACAAGUCACUCAUUUGUCAUCACCUGCUGCUUCCAUUUACAUCACUGACUAAACUCCAAACUUGGGGUGAGCAUUCGGUACAGCAGUUAAGACACCUGCAGCCCAUGGGCCGGCGCUGUGGUGCAGGGGGUUAACACCCUGUCCUGAAGCGCCGGCAUCCCAUAUGGGCGCUGGUUCGAGACCUGGCUGCUCCUCUUCCGAUCCAGCUCACUGCUAUGGCCUGGGAAAGCAGUAGAAAAUGGCCCAAGUCCUUGCACCCCUGCACCCACUGUGGGAGACCUGGAAGAAGCUCCUGGCUCCUGGCUUUGGAUUUGCACUGCUCUGGGCCAUUGAGGCUAAUUGGAGAGUGAACCAGCAGAUGGAAGACCUCCCCCCCCCCCCCGUCUCGUCCUCUCUCUGUGUAACUCUGACUUUCAAUUAAUUAAUCAAUCUUAAAAAAUAAAAAAAAGACACCUGCCCCAAGUGCCUGGCUGGAGUCCUGGCUCUGCUUCAGAUCUGGCUUCUUGCUAAUGUGCACCCUGGGCCACCACUCCCAUUCUGAAUCCAAGGAGCCAUUGAACUUCAGCCAUGUCAGAUCACACAGAUGACCAGGGCCAUGUGGGUGAUUACCAACUGCAAGUGCGGGUAAACACAGGCUUUCUCAACAGAGCUGAGUCUCAAUGCCAAAAUGCCUUCCCGAUCUCGUCUCCACUCAUUAGACUUGACCACCUUCUUGAUGACAGGAGGGGACAAAUAUGAAACGUAAGACAAUUUUUUUAAAAAAAUUAAUUGUCUUAUAAAGAAAGCUAUAUUACAAUCCCAACUUUAACAGUAAAGGGAUGAGAAUUUGGAGAAAAAAAGAUAUCCAAAAAAUCCAGCAUGUGACUAAUAGGGUUUCCAGAGAGAACAGAGCCUGUCACAAGGCGGAAAUGGUCAAUGAAAUGACGUGAGAGAUUCCCCACUCCUGAAGGGCAUGGGUGAGGGCCCAUUAAGGGAGCAGCACACUGAAUGACACAAGGCGUCUGCCAAAAAGCAUUCCACACCAGACUAGGGAGACUCCCAAAACUUUUAGAAAAACAAAAAAGGCCAUAAAUAAGGAACUCGUGGCACAGCGGGUUAAAGCGCUUGAGAUCAUGCCGGCACCCCAUAUCAGAGUGCUGGUUUGAGUCCCGGCUACUCUUCUUCCAAUCCAGCUCCAUGCUAAUGUGCCUGAGAAGGCAGCAAAAGAUGGUCAGGUGCUUGGGCUCCUGCCACCCACGUGGGAGACCCAGAUGGAGUUCCUGGCUCCUGGCCUUGGCCUGACUCAGCCCUGGCUGUUGCAGCUGAUUGGAGAGUGAACCAGCCGCUGGAAGACCUUUGUCUCUCUGUCUCUCCCUCUCUCUGUUGCUCUCCUUUCAAAUAAAUGGCUUUUAAAAAAAGAAAGGCAAAGGAAUAGCAGUCAGGAUCGCUAUCCUUCCCAGCAUCAGCUCUUGCUGCCGCAGGCCAACAGAACAAUGCCUUCAUGAUUCUGAAGGGAACAGGGAACGCCAUCCAGCCUGGUUCUGACCGUGAGGCCCACCAGUAACUAGCAUCCGGCAUUCUGCACAGGCUGGAGGGAGGUCACUCUCUCUUCUCUCACUGCACAUGUCUUUUUUGAGUCCUUUGUUCACAAUUAUAUGACCCAGGUUGUCUCUUUUAAGGCAAGAAGCACUGGAAACAAUCUCCAUAAUGCCCUGAGCUCAAGGAUUUACAUCCUACUACCAGGGCUGGGCUUAGGCACGGGGGUUAAGUCACCGCUUGGGACGCUGCAUCCCAUAUCAAAGUGGGUUCAAGUCCCACCUCCACUCUCGAGUCCAGCUUCCUGCUCAUGUGCACGCUGGGAGACAGCAGGUAAUGCUCAAGUACUUGGGUCCCUGCCACUCACGUGGGAAUCCCAGGUGUGAAUUCUCAAUUUCCAACUUUGGCCUGGCCCAGCCCUGGCUGUUUUGGUAUUUGGGGAGUGAAUCAGUGGAUGGGAGAUUUCUCUUUCUGUAUCUCUGUCUUUCAAAUAAACUAAAUAAAGAUUUGUAUAAUUAAUUAAUUCUGCCAUCUAGGCUCAUCACCCCUUGCCUUGCUUCUUCAUGUCUUGAUUACCUUCACUUUAACCUCGCUGUCUGUGUCCACUUCCAUUCAGUUUGGGCACUCACUUCAUAUUUUCACUGUAAGCUUUGCUCUCAGACCCAAAGAUUCUGCUGAUGAUUCUUUACUUACACCCUUGCUGGAUGUAGGGGCAGCCCCCACUUUGUCCAUUCCACUCUGCCAAUGAGUCCAAAGCAGGAGAGAUCAAGCCAGGCCACAUUGAGGCUCACAGCAAAAGGGAAAUAAGGAACUGUGCUUCCAAGAAAUGCCCUGAACCGGGCAGAAUCCGAGAGUGUUGUGCAUUGUCCAGUGUGCACACUAAGGUAGAAUCCCAGCUAGAGAUUCGGGGCAAAAGUCCCUUUAAGAAAUGUGCGUUUUCCUGGAGCAUGUCUUGGUCAUAACUGUCAGGAUCCUUAAGCCCAGCGGGGUUAGGGGGAGGGAGACACUAUGUAGGUGGAGUAUAGCAGAGAAGAGAAGAAGAUACCGUGUUGCCUCCAUCCUAACUUAACAGAGGCCCCUACAAAAUGACUCACAAAGCUCCAAAAGCGUCUGAGAUAUGAGGACACCCUAGACUUUAAGAUAAAAAAGAAACAGGUGAACUUAAUAUUCACUUGGAAAAGUUCGAUACAAGGGGUCUUCAAA